AUUUUUUACGGCGUUUUUAUUAUUUGCACGAAAACGUAUUAGCUAUUCCAAAUGUUUUGAAAUUUUCUAUUAAUAAAAGAUUGUAUGUUGGACGAUUACAUUGAGCAGCGAGUGAGUCGGUUACAAAUAUGCAAACUUUGCAGUGUUCUCUCCUUUGGAAAAGGCUCAAUAUUAAGGGCUUAAUAUUUCUACAGCGUCCUCGUCUCCUUUAGCUCAGAUCAGCUGUGCCAUCGCAUAUAUAUUGCCACCGUACUAUCGAUUAGUGCCCCGGCAGCGCAACUGGCGGAUGCUACAAAGAAAGCUUGGCUUGUCCUUAUGAUAGCCCAGUUCGGCGUCCUUACUGUAGUAAAUUAUAACGUUCACGAAAAAAUCGAAAUCGUUGUUACAUUUGUGUGCCGUUCAAUAAUAAAGUAAAAUAAUAAUCCGUUUGUUGUUUGCUCUGUUUUUUAUUUUAUUGUAAAUCGCUCGGCUUAGCUAUGGAGGAUGAGACUGCAGAAAGUUAUGUUCUUGACAGAUUUGAUCCUAUAAUGAACGAAAUGCGCAAGAAAAAGGUAUUAUUGGAUUUCGCAUUGGUUAACGUUAACGGUGACGAAGUAUGGGGUCAUUUGCCACUGAUGGCUUUAAUGAGCGAUGUAAUUUUAGAGACUGCUAUGUUCAAGCGUGAAGAAAGAUUGCUGUUGAAAAAUAUAAAUGCUGAAUCACUGGAACAUGUAGUCAACUACAUGUAUACUGCUGAAGUAGACUUAACUCGUGAUAAUGUUCUUAUGAUUUUAGGUGCAGCUACUCAUUUGGAAUUGGAACAUUUACAAUCACUGUGUUGGGAUUUUUUGGCUAAUAAUUCGAAUCGCAACGAAGAGGAUAUCAUUCGAUGCGAUAUCAUUCUCACGGCUUGGUCGAUAGUAGAAGUAUGAUGAAAAAAGGAACUAUUGGAUUUCGUAUUGGUCAACGACAACGGUGACCAAGUAUGGGGUCAUAUGCUCGUGAUGGCUUCAAUGAGCCGUUUGGUUAAGAAAGCAGCUCUGAAGGGUGAAAGAAGAUUGUUUUUAAAAUAUAUAAGUGCUGAGUCGAUGGCACAUAUAGUCAAUUACAUGUAUACUAUUGAAGUAGACUUAACUCGUGGAAAUGUUGAUAAUAUUUUAGCCGGAGCUUCUCAACUGAGGAUGAUAUACUUACAAGAAGCGUGUGUGAAUUUUUUGGAUAAUAAUGCGAAUGGCAACGAAGAGGAUUACUUUUGGUGAUGUCUUGGUUGAAAUAGUAUGAUGGUUAAUAAGUAUUAAUUCAUCAUUUUUUGAACUUCGAACUAUGACUUAUAGUAUUUAACUAAUAGCUUGAUUAGUAUUUUUUUUUAUAUUAUAUUAUAAGCAAUAUUUGCUGCCCUUUGCUGCCAAAACCAAUUUCUUCCACUCUUCUCUAUUGAAAUAUAUUUAGUCUAUUCUCAUCUCAUGCUGGUGUACCCAAUGUCUUUUCCUGGUAUCAUCCACAUUUAUUAAACUUACUUACCUACUUGAAUUUUUACUUUAUUAUAAACUUAGUUUUGUUAUGAGUUAGAUAUUAUAGGUAGCUUAUUGCAUACCUAUAUGAUAGGUGUUAGUAUAUUAUAAAUGUAAUUAAACUGUGUGAUUAUUAACUUGCAUUUAAGUACAAAUUUUUCAUGUAAUUGCCAAUUGGUAUUUAGUGUUUACAUAAGAGUCAUUAUACUUCUACUACUAGUAUAAGGUGUAGAUUUAAACACAUUUGUUAGCUUCACUGCAGAGCUGAGAAGUUUUUAUUUUUUUUGUAUCCGAUUUUUUUCUUAAAUUACUGUUGCAAAAUCCCUGUUUUCUUAAAUGAUUAAAUAAUAACAUUGAAAAAUUUAAUUUUAAUUCUUUGAUCUAGCACUAUAAUAUAAUAUAAAAUAGUACAAUAAUAAUUAUACUCUUAAGUCACGUUUACAC